rnacentral:rRNA from 1 species
UGAGGGAAUAUUUGGGUCAAUGGGCGAGAGCCUGAACCAGCCAAGUAGCGUGCAGGACGACGGCCCUAUGGGUUGUAAACUGCUUUUAUACGGGAAUAAAGUGAUGCCUGCGGGCGUUAUUGCAUGUACCGUACGAAUAAGGACCGGCUAAUUCCGUGCCAGCAGCCGCGGUAAUACGGAAGGUCCGGGCGUUAUCCGGAUUUAUUGGGUUUAAAGGGAGCGUAGGCUGUCCUUUAAGCGUGUUGUGAAAUGUAGGCGCUCAACGCCUGCACUGCAGCGCGAACUGAAGGACUUGAGUGUGCACGACGCUGGCGGAAUUCGUGGUGUAGCGG